rnacentral:tRNA from 1 species
GCCCAGGUAGCUCAGUCUGGGAGAGCGCCCGGCUGAAGACCGGGUUGUCGCAGGUUCAAAUCCUGCCCUGGGCA